UUUAUUACUCGCUUUUACAAUGUGGUAUGAGAAAUUAAUAUUCCCGAAUCAAAUAAGCUGCAUGGAGACAUUGAGAAACACUUCACUUGAGCGACAAGAAACCCAUAGAAUAAAAAUCUCCCACUAUCUUUUCAUUUCAAAUCCAUUGGCUUAAGCUCCUAUUGAUCGAUAACUACUUGCAAAACAUCGUCUUACGUUACCUUAGGGAUCGUACAAAACGCCAUAAACCUCAAAGGAGUGCUGCUCUGAAAUUCUUCAUCUCUUUCUUCAUUGUAAAGCUUCUUCUCAAAACUGAUGUUUCGUUCUUGGUAAUAGUGUUUGUUGUUGUGUUGUAGCUAUCGCAACUGGUGCUUGCUCCACGGAGAGAAUUUACACCAUCACUCUCUGUGGAAGCAGCUGAUUCUGUGCAGCGUGCUUGCUUGCUUCAACUGAUAGUUUCUUGCAGUCCAAGAUUCUGCAUAACCUCUUUCUCUGAGUCUUAUCAAUCUUCUGAUGAAUCUGAAAACAGAGAGUGUGUGAGAUAUAACAAUCACCAGUAUAUGUCAAAGUGGAUAAGUUAAUUCCUAAAUGUCGAAGAAAUAAGAAUGUUAUGGUUUUCUCACCUCCAACUGUUUUGGGAUUUAUGCUGGUAGCUAGCACAACUUUGGGCACUGACCCUUUGCUCUCCAAUAUUCUAUGGAAUGCCAGAGCCAGUCCAUCAAACAGACUAAUAACAAACACAGUACCAUCCCGUUAAAGAAGCAAUGGCAUACCAGGUUAGAGACUUACCAUGUUCUAUUAAUAUCACCUCUGCCAUGGGAUUGUCUUUGAGAAGGCACGUUACUGAUACUUCUUCCUUGAAAAAGCAAAAGCAGAAAUUCUAACUAAAGACUUGCUACAAAAGGACAUAAAGAAGACGUAAAGAUAUGGUUCGUAGCUAAGAGUAAUACCUUCAGUGCUUCAGAUUUUGCAGUUGCACCACCAGCAAGAACCGUACUCUGAGCUCUCGCACAGUCUGCCAAGCAGUUCUUGCGGCACCGGCUCUCCUCUACGUUGCUGUGUGAACCUUUGGAAAGGUAAGAAGGGUAACCACAAAAUCCAAGCUUCAAGUUUGAUGCUUUAACCAAAAGCAAGAAUGAGUUUUCAUAUACCUUAUGGGUGAGAUGAUGCUGCAAGGGGUUUUCAAAGAGAGAUAGCCUUAGCUCUUUGGUCUAGGCGUGUGCUUCUCAUAAUUCUCAUCCUUAUCUGAGAAACCAUAGAAGAAGUGGGAUUAGAUCUGAAUCGAGACAUAAAGUAAUAGAUCGAGCAGCCAUUUUCUCACCUAUAACUCGGACUUGAAGUUGAAGGAAGGAAGUGUUGAGGUGAGGGAGCGAGUCAGUGAAACAACCCAAUGACGAAGUCAUCGUCGUCGUCGCUGCUUUCUAUAUCCGUCAACAUCCAUCUUUCAAAUCAGCAAGUGAAUGAUUGCAGCAAGCGUUACACAAUCUCCGGUGUGAUUGCAAGGAGGAAAAAUCAAGAUUUGGGUGAAGAACUGAGAUUUGAACCGUUCAUUAUCAUCCAGAUUUAUAGGCUGGAAAUUUGGGGUUUAGGAAGAGCUUGGUGAAUAGAAAAUUAAAGUCGACUUAGUGGGUGGAGUUCAGGGGGUCUUAAUGGCGGGUUUUAAAUUUUUAAUCAUACGCUUGAAAGCUUAAGAGAAACGUUACAUGGCGGUUCUGGUAGAGGCAAUCAAAAUUAGAAGAAUCGAGAAGACGAAGAGUGAAGGGAAGGCUCGUAAGGAAGUUGUGCUUAGUUAAUAAUGUCUAGGUGGGCUUUAAAAAAUUUAAGUAAAUUAAGUGGCCCAGUUCAGCAGUUUUACUUGCAAGCGGAAGUUCCAACCGUGAGCAGAAUGAUAGACGUGGCAUGAUUUGCCUCUCCUUCCUUGAUGACGUGGACGCAUGAGAAGAGAGGCAAGUCAACUUUAUAUAUAAAGACUAGGGAUUAACCCGGGCUACGCCCGGGAUUUUUAUUUUUUUCUAAUUUAAGUUGUUAAAUUAUUUAUAUUUAGGCUAUGAUUUAUAUUUAUAUAAAUGUUAAAAUGCAUGUCAUAAUUAAAAUUUAUUUUUAAAUUUUAACACGUUAAAUUAACAUAUUUUUUACUAUUUAAAUAUUUUUUUGUAAUUUUAUUGGCUAUCUAGUUAUCAUAUUUAGCAAAACUAUCUUUUGAGUGUUGGAAUAAAUGUUUUAGAGAUUUUAUUAAACUGCAGAGUAUUUUUGGAUCGACCACAUGCUUAACAUUCGAUCGAUCCGUAAAAAGAUGGUCGAUCUCCUUGGCGAGGUAAGUACAAUUUUAGCAAAAAUAUAUUUUAUUUUCAAAUAUUAAGUAUAUAACUAUUCUUUUUAAUAUUUUUUUAAUUGUAUUUUUGAUUAAAUUAUUGUAUUAUAAUGGUUAUGUAAAUAUUUUUUGUGAUGUUUGAAUUUUUGUUGUUCGUAUACUUAACCUAGAUGAUAUUGAUGUUUAACAAUUUAUUGUUUUCUGGAAAUAGAAAAUAAUGAUAUAUCAAAACGUAUCUAAUACUUGUUAAAUGAUAGUAUAAUGUAAAUUACAUCCAUUAUUUGAAAAUAAACAUUUGUUGUUUUUAUUUUUAUUUUAAAUCAGAAAUUAUUUUUAUUUAAAAACAUUAUUCAUAUAUAAUAUAAUAGUUUAAGUUUGGAAGAUUAAUAUAUAUAUAUAAAUUAUGUGUAUUUUUUAAAACAUAAUUUAAGAUAUUAUAUAUUGAGUAUAUGAAUAAAAGCUGAAUUUCUUACCUUGAAAAUCAGAUAUUUAUAUUUUUAUCUUCAUGUUAUACUCACCAAUCCAUCAUUGAUAUUUAUAACUCAGUAUGUUUUUUAAAAAACUUAGUUUUAAGUAAUAAACGAAUUUAAUAAAUUAAAUUCAUCACCUAUAAUGUUCUGUAAACUAUAUUUGAAAACUCUCUAAAAUUAUAUUUUAAGCAUAAUAUUAUUAUUAUUUAAUUUAAGUUAUUUUAAACAUAAUAUAUGCUAAACCAACUUAAAUUAUAUUUACAAUAGGACCAUCCUAAACCGGUUAGUAAACCAAAAACAAUACUAAACCAACAUGAACCAAUACCUGAUUCGGCGAGGAAGGAAGUGUUUCGGGAUAAACGCUUGAAUGGUUAUUAACUGAAAUGGUUUGAUCAUGAAAGAGUUAGUAUGAAUAUUAACAAUAAAAUUAUACAUUAGAUUAAUUUAAAUUUGUAAGAAUACCUUUGAGUCUAUGAAAAGCAAUUCAAUUCCCAUGAAUAAGUUUGGUUUUGGAAGUUGCGGGUUUCCCAACAAUGAAUCCACCUAACAAAAAGUUUGUUGUUAUAAAAAAAUCUCAUUCAAGGUCAUUAAAGGUUUCUGGGACGGCAAUAGUUGAUAGUGAAACCUUUUUUUUGCUCGAAUGCUUUGAAAUUUUCCUUAAUAGUGUGAGGUUGAUGUGGAUGGAAUAAUGAGUUUUAUAGGGACUUUCUUGAUGUAAAACUAUAAAAAAAUUUUUUGUUUAAUGUGGUAUUUCCAUUUUUAUAUAAUUUACUACCAUUUUAAGAUAGAAGUACAUUUUAAGAUAGAUGCUUAAAUCUUAAUGUACUUUUUCCAUUUUUUAAAAUGUUUAUUUCCAUUUCUUAUAUUUUUAUUUACGUAAUAUCAAUAUUUUAUAUUUUUAAAUAGAUAUUUAAAUAUUAAUGUACUUUUUCCAUUUUUUAAAUUGUGUAUUUACUUAUAUUAUAUAUUUUACAUUUUAAGAUAGAUGUUUAAUGCUUGAUGAACUUUUUCCACUUUUUAAAAAAUUGUGUAUUUACUUAUUAUUACAUAUAUAAUUCAUAUAUUAUAUAUUUACAUUAUUUACUUAUUAUUUAUUUUCAUGUAUAUGUAUUUCCAUUUCUUGUACUUUUAAUUUACUUAAUAUCUCUAUUUUACAUUUUAAGAUAGAUGUUUAAAUCUUAUGUAUGUUUUCCAUUUUUUUAAAUUGUAUAUUUCCAUUUGUUAUACUUUCUAUUUACGUAAUAUCUAUAUUUUAAAUUUUAAUAUAUAUUUUUAACUCUUAAUGUAAUUUCCCAUUUUUUAAAAUUUGGUAUUCACUUAUAUUAUAUAUUUACUUAUUAUUUAUUUUUCUUUAUAUUGUGUAUUUCUAUUUCUUAUACUUUCUAUUUACUAAUAAUUUUAUAUUUCAAGAUUGAUUUACAUUUUAAGAUAGAUGUUUAAAUACUAAUGUAUUUUUUCCAUUUUUUUAAAUUGUGUAUUUCCUUUUCUUAUACUUUCUAUUUACUUAAUAUUUAUAUUUUACAUUUUAAGAUAGAUGUUUAAUAUUUAAUGUACUCUUUCCAUUUUUUAAAAAUUGUGCAUUUACUUAUUAUUGUAUAUAUAAUUCGUAUAUUUAUAUAUUUAUAAUAUUUACUUAUUAUUUAUUUUUCUAUAUAUUGAGUAUUUCUCUUUCUUAUACUUUAUAUUUAGUUAAUGUCUAUAUUUUAUAUUUUAAGAUAGAUGUUUAAAUCUUUACGUAUUUUUCCAUUUUUAAUGUAAAACGGCAAUGUUUAAUAGAAGAACUUGGACAAAUAGUCAAAUAGUUAUAUUUAUGUUUUUUUUUCUUUUUUUAAUAAAAAUGUAAUGUUACAUUAUGAAGAUAACCCGUUUUUUUAGUGAACAAUGGUAAUCUUACAUAUGUUUAAUGUAGUUUUUCCAUUUUUUUAUGUUGUAUGUUUACAUAUUAUUGUUAUUUUUAAAUGUAAAAUGGUAAUUUUACAUAUGUAAAAUGGUAAUUUUACAUAUGUUUAAUGCAGUAUUUCCAUUUUUUAUGUUGUAUGUUUACAUAUUAUUUAUUAUUUUCGAAAUUAUAUAUAAUUUUUUUUUUACAAAAUAGUAAUGUUACAUUAUGGAGAUAAGCCGUUUUUUUUUAGUGAAAAAUGGUAAUCUUACAUAUGUUUAAUGUAGUUUUUUCAUUUUUUAUGUUGUAUGUUUACAUAUUAUUUUCUUAAAAUAAAAAUGUAAAAUGGUAAUCUUACAUAUGUUUAAUGUAGUAUUUCCAUUUUUAUGUUGUAUGUUUUACAUAUAUUUAUUAUUUUCAAAAUUAUAUAUAAUGUUUUUUGUUUUUUUUAUAAAACGGUAAUGUUACAUUAAGGAGAUAAACCGUCUUUUUUUUAAGUGAAAAAUAGUAAUCUUACAUAUGUUUAAUGUAGUUUUUACAUUUUUUUAUGCUGUAUGUUUACAUAUUUUUAUAAUUUUCGAAAAUAAGUAAUAUUAAAAUGUAAAACUAUAUUUUAAUGCCAUGUGUCAUCUUUCGAGAUUAUAUUUUAUAUUUACUUAUUAUUUAUUUUUCUUUAUAUUGUGUAUUUUUAUUUCUUAUACUUUCUAUUUACUAAUAAUUUUAUAUUUUAAGAUUGAUUUACAUUUUAAGAUAGAUGUUUAAAUACUAAUGUACUUUUUCCAUUUUUUUAAAUUGUGUAUUUCCUUUUCUUAUACUUUCUAUUUGCGUAAUAUCUAUAUUUUACAUUUUAAGAUAGAUGUUUAAAUCUUAAUAUACCUUUUCCAUUGUUUUUAAGUUGUGUAUUUCUUUUUCUUAUAUUUUCUAUUUACUUAAUAUCUAUAUUUUACAUUUUAAGAUAGAUGUUUAAUAUUUAAUAUAUUAUUUCCAUUUUUAAAAAAUUGUGCAUUUACUUAUUAUUGUAUAUAUAAUUCGUAUAUUUAUAUAUUUAUAAUAUUUACUUAUUAUUUAUGUUUUUAUAUAUUGAGUAUUUCUCUCUUUUAUACUUUAUAUUUAGUUAAUGUCUAUAUUUUAUAUUUUAAAAUAGAUGUUUAAAUCUUUACGUAUUUUUCUAUUUUUAAUGUAAAACGGCAAUGUUUAAUAGAAGAACUUGGACAAAUAGUCAAACAUAUUUAUGUUUAAUGUAGUAUUUCCAUUUUUAUGUUGUAUGUUUUACAGAUAUUUAUUAUUUUCGAAAUUAUAUAUAAUGUUUUUUGUUUUUUUUUAUAAAACGGUAAUGUUACAUUAUGGAGAUAAGCCGUCUUUUUUUUAAGUGAAAAAUAGUAAUCUUACAUAUGUUUAAUGUAGUUUUUCCAUUUUUUAAUGCUGUAUGUUUACAUAUUUUUUACAAUUUUCGAAAAUAAUUAAUAUUAAAAUGUAAAACUAUAUUUUAUGCCACAUGUCAUCUUUCGGAAGAAAUGUUUUCCGCUGAUGUGGACGCCCUAUGGAGCCUCAAAAGCUCCCUUUUAUUAGUAGAGUUUAUUUUUCUUUAUAUUGUGUAUUUUUAUUUCUUAUACUUUCUAUUUACUAAUAAUUUUAUAUUUUAAGUUUGAUUUACAUUUUAAGAUAGAUGUUUAAAUACUAAUGUACAUUUUCCAUUUUUUUAAAUUGUGUAUUUCCUUUUCUUAUACUUUCUAUUUGCGUAAUAUCUAUAUUUUACAUUUUAAGAUAGAUGUUUAAAUCUUAAUAUACUUUUUCCAUUGUUUUUAAGUUGUGUAUUUCUUUUUCUUAUAUUUUCUAUUUACUUAAUAUCUAUAUUUUACAUUUUAAGAUAGAUGUUUAAUAUUUAAUAUACUCUUUCCAUUUUAAAAAAAAUGUGCAUUUACUUAUUAUUGUAUAUAUAAUUCGUAUAUUUAUAUAUUUAUAAUAUUUACUUAUUAUUAUUUUUUUAUAUAUUGAGUAUUUCUCUUUUUUAUACUUUAUAUUUAGUUAAUGUCUAUAUUUUAUAUUUUAAGAUAGAUGUUUAAAUCUUUACGUAUUUUUCUAUUUUUAAUGUAAAACGGCAAUGUUUAAUAGAAGAACUUGGACAAAUGGUCAAACAUAUUUAUGUUUAAUGUAGUAUUUCCAUUUUUAUGUUGUAUGUUUUACAUAUAUUUAUUAUUUUCGAAAUUAUAUAUAAUGUUUUUUUUUUUUUUUUAUAAAACGGUAAUGUUACAUUAUGGAGAUAAACCGUCUUUUUUUUAAGUGAAAAAUAGUAAUCUUACAUAUGUUUAAUGUAGUUUUUCCAUUUUUUAAUGCUGUAUGUUUACAUAUUUUUUACAAUUUUCGAAAAUAAUUAAUAUUAAAAUGUAAAACUAUAUUUUAUGCCACGUGUCAUCUUUCGAGAAAAUUUUUUUCCGCUGAUGUGGACGCCCUAUGGAGCCUCAAAAGCUCCCUUUUAUUACGAAAAUAAUUAAUAUUAAAAUGUAAAACUAUAUUUUAUGCCACGUGUCAUCUUUGGAGAAAAUUUUUUUCCGCUGAUGUGGACGCCCUAUGGAGCCUCAAAAGCUCCCUUUUAUUAGUAGAGAUUUUCUUAGAAAGAAACAAAACAUAUAUAACUAACUCUUAAAGUAACCAAAUUGUUAAAGUAGUCACUUAUAUUUUGCAAAACAACAUAGGUACCCCCACUAAAAGAAGUUAAUUAAUUUGUAGAAAUAGAAUGAUUAUUUCACACCAUUUAAAUAUAGAUGCACUAUUAAUUCUCCACAUUCGGUUACAGUUAGGAUAUUUCAGUUUUUGGUUUUAAAAAUUUAGGAAUUGUUCAAGUAUUCACUUUGGCUUAAAUUGAAUUAUUUUGGUUUUUAGUUCUGUUCGAAUUAUAAAUUUAGGAACCGGCUAAAAUCCAUUAAAAAAAAAAACUCGGAUCAAAAUUUUACUGUUUAUUAAUUUUGCAAUAUCGUUUUGUAAGAUUUGAGUUAUCCUUUUUUGGGCUUAGCUCAAGUCCUAAAGAAUGACAAACAACGAAGAAUAAAUAAAUAAAUUGGCAGCUCUCCCCACUCGUCUCCUUCAAUUACACGAAAAGGAGAGGUCAAAACUAGCCGUUGGCAUUAUUUCUUUAAUCGAAACAGCCGCUCCUUCCCUAAUCCUCUUCAUCUUUCCUCUUUCUCCACUCUCACUCACCUCCAACUUUUUGCUCAUGGCGACCUGCAUCAGAAAACUAUCACCCAAUCCCGAACCACCCCAGCUUCAAACUCCCCGCGCCAGAUCUCCUCUCUCCGAGAAUCUCUCUCCAUCCACCACCACCUUCCCGCGAUCUCCUCUCUCCUUCAUCUCUCCUCACACCUUAUCUCCCUUGAAGCUCAGCUCCCCUAAGCUCGUAACCCCCACUUCUCUUCGCACUGAUGAUGACGACGACGACGAGGACAUGAGUAUCUCAUCUGGUUCUGACGCCUUAGGAGGAGUUAACGAAUUGCUCUCCGAUUACGAUCUCGAUGAUGACGAGGUUGUGAGGCGUUAUUACGACGAAGAAGAAGUGUUUGGGCCAACAAAGCCCACCUCGAAAUUGAACAGAGGAGUGUUGAAUGAUAUGAAUCUGAGAAUCGAAGUUCCGUUUGCUAACGGAAGAGUCACAGACGGCGAAUCAAGACUACGGAGAUUCGCCUUGGCGAAUUCGACUCCGGGGAGCUAUCUCCGUGAUGAGAGGCCGCGUACUCUGAGCUCCAAGGUACACAUUCGAUCUCGCUGAAGGUUUUGAAUUGAGUAAUUUUGCUAAAUUUAGGAACAAAAUGUUGUAUUAGGGUUCGGUGUAUUGGGAGAGUAAUGAAGAUAUCGGGACCCCAAGUGCACCACCUAUAAUGGAUAUUGGAGAAGAUGAUAACAUCGUGGAGUUGGAGAAAGAGAUUGAGCAGAUUGAAGAUGAGAUUUGCAGAGAAGCUGGUGUUGAGAGUCAUCAUCAACAAGUAAACAUUGGAGGCUUAGCUGGUGAUACUGUUUCUCAUUUGUAUCCUGAAUUUAGUGAAAGGUAUGCAUCGAGCUUUCUAUUUUUGUUCUGCGGAGAAGUCUUGAUGGGUUAGUAAAUGUUAUCAUGGUUUGGUGUAGUGUGAGGGAGACUCAAACUGAGGAAGCUGCGCAAAUCGAGGACAUCAGCUCUGAUGAGUUGAAUUGCCAUAGUAUCAGGUUAACUACUUUAUUUCACAACUUAGAAUGAAAGAGGUUUGAAAUGAGGAAUUGUUGGGUUUUAUUGUGGCUGCUUAGCUUACAUAAUGUUUGUUAUCAAUGGCAGUGGUCAGUAUGCUUGGCAAAGUCUUCUGGCAUAUGAUGCUUGCGUAAGACUAUGCUUGUAUGCAUGGUCAAGGGGUUCUUCUGAGGCACCUGAGUUUCUGCGUGAUGAAUGUCGUCUUCUCCGUGGUGCAUUUGGGUAAGACUUGUGUGUCUUUAUGGUUUUCAAGGCAUUACUUAUUUGUUGUAUAUUGAGUUAUUUAAUCACUCUUUUGUAUGUGUUGUUAUAGGUUGCAUAAGUUUCUCUUGCAACCUCGGGGUGUUCGAUCAACCGAAGAAAGCAAAAAUGUGAAAGUAGAGCAAAAGACACCUUUGAAGUCUAAGAACGUGGUCAGAAAGUUGAGAGUGGAAGGUAAAACUAUUCUUCUUCUUCUGAUGAGCUAAAACUUGAAUACAAAAAUAAGUUUGUGGAUGCCUGAUAUGAAUCAGAUAUUAAUAUACCUCUUAAAUUUUGUUUAUAGUGAGGAGACUUCGAUUGAUACCACAACGCAAACUUAGAGGCAUAGAUUCGCUGCGGAGUUUAAUGAGCACCCCAAUGGGGGCAGAGUAUUGCCGCCAAGUUUCAUCACUUGUGAAGACUGGGAUGAGUUCUAUCAAGACGGCUACCCUUUCAGCAGUUUCAGAAGGUUUCCUUUUCUUACAUGAAAAACUAAACAUUUAUUAAACCAUUUGAAUGAUAUUUGGUUGUUAACUUAACUUGUCUCGGCCGAUUGAUUUGCGUCUGAUAUUGGCCAAACUUCUUACUAAAUGGAAGAUGAUACCUCUAUUGAUAUGUGAUGACAUGACUUAAUCUUUGUGUUUCUGCAGAACAAUUCUCCUGCUACCUUCAGAUGAAGAGCACAGCAGAAGGAGAUCAAGUCGAACAAGGAUCUUCCGUUUGUUUGCAAUCAGGAACUGGAAGUUACCAUGUCUUGUAAGCUAUUCUCUUUCUCUUGAAAUCACUUGUAACUUUGCAAGCUGUUUGAAUAAAUGAAAGCUACAGAAUUUAGUUUCAUAGUUUCCGUGUGAAUGCUUUACUCACAAGUCCUCCUUCAGCUUUCCCGAGCCUGAAGGCGACGCUCUUCUGAUAGAAGUUCAUGAUAAGAAAAAAUCAGUUCAAGGAAAAGUAACAAUUCCAAUGGCAUCCUUAACUGAUAAUCCGGUAAAUAUGCCUUCCGUGCGAUAAAUAUCUUCCAUUUUGCUUUGAGAAUAUGUUAUAGUAUUUUCGAAUAUUUAAAUAUACUGAAGAAAACUCUACAUUUGUUCAGAAUGAAAAUGUAAGAUGGUGGCCAAUAUACCAUGGUGAACAAGACUGUGUAGGCAAGAUCCAGCUCUUCCUUGGUAGCACGACCUCAUCCGAUGAAGACUGUCACAUAAAGGUAUGGUCUUUCUCCAAAAAUUCUCAGAUUAUCUAUGUUUUGUUCUGUGAGAUAAUGCCCUCACUAAUGUUUUGCAUUUUUUCUGUUAUAGAGUGCUCCUGUUGUUGAGACACUAGCAUACGAUUUGUUACUAGAAGCUGCCACACGUGCCCAAAGAUUUCAUGCUCAAAACUUAAGACUAAAUGGGUCUUGGAAAUGGUUGCUGAGUGAAUUCGCAGAAUAUUAUGGAGUUUCCGAUUCAUAUACCAAGUUAAGGUAAUCAUAAAUAAUAUAUUUGGCUAUACUGUCUUGUAUCUAUUUAGCUCAAAAUCUACUAACUCAAAUAUACUUCACCAUACAUUGCAGAUAUCUCUCACAUGUAAUGAAUGUGGCAACUCCUACUAAAACAUGCUUACAACUUGUGCAUGAGUUACUAGUGCCCAUCCUAAGCGCUCGAAGUGACAAGAGCUUGACCAGGCAGGAGGUACUUCCCGUUUUCUUUUGCAAAUCGAAAAGGCUGAUGCUACUAGUUCUUGAAAAUAUCCGAGCUAUCACGUUUUAGUUUGAAAUCUGCUUAAUGGCUAUCAUGACUACAUUGACGACUUUUCUGUUCUUGCAGAAAAGUAUCUUAAUGGAUUGUGAAAUAGAGAUAGAAAAACUCUUGGCAAAUGUUUUUGAGAACUACAAGUCAUUAGAUGAAAGCUGCCCUUCAGGGUUGGCACACAUAUCUGGUCCGGUGCAAGAAUCAGCUUCAACAGCACUUGCUCCAGCUGUUCAGAUUUUCUGCCUUCUUCAUGAUAUAUUGUCUCCCGAAGGACAAGAAAUUUUGAAGAAUUACCUUAAGGUAAGCUCAUACGGACCUUAAGACUAUGAUGUUCACGAUAUUCUUGAUCUAAUGAAAAACCCGUUGCAGACAGCAGCAAAGAAGAGGUGCAGGAAGCACAUGGCUGAGACCGAUGAAUAUGUUUCCUCCAACUCUGAAGGUUUUCUUUUGGACUCGGUCACAAUUUCUACAGCCUACCAUAAAAUGAAGAAUCUCUGUCUAAACAUAAGCAACGAAAUAGAGGCUGACAUAAAGAUUACCAAUGAACAUGUACUCCCAAGGUAAAUGAUCAUGUCAUCUUGUUUUCAUCUUGAGAUUAUCUCCGAGUCUUGAUAUUGAUUUGGUCUUAUUUUAUCAUAUACCUUGUUAUAUCAUUCAAGCUCAAUCGACCUAUCAAACAUAGCCGCUGCCGUAUACAGUACGCUGCUAUGUAACCGGAUCAGAGCAUUUCUGUCAGCAGUACCACCAUCUUGCCCACAGCCUCAUGUCAAUGAGCUUCUGAUAGCAGUUUCCGAUUUUGAAAGAAGCCUCGAUUCAUGGGGAAUCAGGUUUGAAAUUAGCUUCUUGGGAUCAAAAUAUGAUGGCACCAAACUCAUUCAUUCUCACUAACUAUUUAUUUUAUUUUACUCAGUCCAGUACACGGUGGUAUAGACUCUAGGGGAUUAUUCCAUAACUACAUAAUGGUUUGGAUACAUGAUAUGGAACUCAGGCUACUUGACCGAUGCAAAGCAGAGAAGGUAAUAUUUCUGAUCAUUUUGGGUUGUUCCGUAAGAUAAUAAAACCUAUCAUUUGACUGUAAUAAGAUAUGAUGGCUUGUUUUGACAGGUUCCCUGGUCUGGUGUAAUAACAAACCACUCAACAUCACCGUUUGCUGAGGACAUGUAUGAGAGAAUAAAAGAUUCUCUUAUGGAGUAUGAAGUGGUGAUUAGUAGAUGGCCACAAUACACAUUGAUUUUGGAAAACGUGAGCUAUAAAGUUAUAUAUAUGUUAUAAGUUUGCAGCUUACUGAAUGGUUACAAAGACUAACUUGGCUUCAUUUUUUUUUCAUGUACUCUUAGACUGCCUCAAUCAUAGAGAGAGCCAUUGUUAAAUCUCUUGAGAAACAAUACAGUGAGAUAUUGACUCCUUUGAAAGACAGCAUUCCAAAGCGACUGAAUUUGCAUGUUCAGAAGCUGACAAGAAGGCAGUCAUCAGCUCUCUACUCUGUUCCGACUCAAGUAAGAGCCACCCUUUGAGCAUGUUUGAUAUACGUUUUGUUACCUUUCUAAGGAAUUGUUUUGAACCUCAUUGUGCCACUCUACCCCUCGUUGAAUGCAGCUGGGAACUUUUGUCAACACCAUAAAGAGAAUUCUUGAUGUUCUACAUCAGAGAGUCGAGGAUAUUUUGAGACAAUGGGCUUCGUGUCUUCCUGUCGUUGAGGAUAAGAAGUCACUCUUUGGGGAGCAGAUGAACGUAAUCACAGUUUUGCUCAGGACAAAAUACAGAAACUACAUGCAGGCUGCGGUUGAUAAACUUGUCAGCAACGUAAGUUGUUUAAAGCCUCGCAUGAUCUGCCUUGCUUCGAAUUUAAGCUUGUUUUUAACAAUCUUUGUGUGCGUGUGUGGUUCGAUGUUUCAGACGCAAUCAAACAAAACCACAAGGCUGAAGAAAAUCUUGGAGGAGAUAAGAGAAAACGAGAGAGAAGUCGAAGUCCGCGAGCGUAUGAGGAUGUUAUGCUCACAAAUCACAGACUCGAUCUCAAACAUGCACGAUGUCUUCACAAGUCAGAUAUUCGUGGCGUCAUGCCGUCUUUUCUGGGAUAGAAUGGCGCAGGUGGUGUUGAAGUUUCUUGAGGGAAGAAAGGAGAAUGAAGUAGGCUACAAAGGCUCUUACUAUGCUCUUGGGGUAAUAAACGAAAACUUCAAGCACUACACUGUAUAAUAGACAAAUCUUUUUAGGUGUUGAGACUUGAGUUGUGAUGAAAAUGUGUGCAGAUAGUGGAAGACACGUUCGCAUCAGAGAUGCAGAGGCUGCAAGGGAAUUCGCUACAGGAGAAGGAUAUGGAAGCUCCUCGUUCGGUGAUUGAGGCACGUUCCAUUCUCUCUAGAGACACGACCAAUCACUCUUCUUACUUCUAUGUCUAGUCCAGUGUCCAAUAUAUGUACACAGAAUCUCAUUCUUUUUCCAUUCAUUUGUUUUGAUAAUAUCGUACAUAUAUAUAUAUAAAAUCUAUUCAACAAAUCUUAAAUGGUCAAUAACGAUUCUAUUAUUCAUUUUGUUUCCAAUAAAGAGCUGCAUGCAUAUGCGCCUACAAGAAGAAAGUAUUUCUUGUACCGUACAUAACCAAGCGUAUUGGGAGAGGAAAGAUCUCAACUUCGUAGUCAUUGCUCCUCACUUUAGGGUAUCUUUGGCUGUAGCUUCUCAAACUAUUAUGAAUCAAAAGGGAGAAAAAUGAAUCAGUUACAUAGUGUGUCUGCGGAAAAAGAAUUGUUGCGCAACAUACCUUGCUAUUGAAGUGACCUAACAGGAUCCUCUGCGUCCAAGCUUUAUCACGCUAGAUAUCUCAUGAACCAGUGAGGCUUUUGUGUAGCCACGAUGUAACCAGUUGUCAACACGAGGGUGAGUCCAGGUGCGAACUGCGAAGGCUAUGGCAGCUGCAGUCCAGCUCAGUACUCUUCCUUCUUCUGGUUCUGGCUCUGGCUCUUGUAAUUGCUCUGCACACCUUUCACUUAGAUGAAAGACCACAGAGUCCUAGGUUUCCUUCAAAAGCCAAAGCAGAUUGAGCCUGAAACUGUGCUCGUUUUGCCGUAUCAGACCGUGGAGCCUCUGGUUUUGGGAAAGCUUGAUGUAAGACAAACUUGUGUGAAACUUGUUUUUGAUCUGAACAAGUUAAUAUUAUUUAUAGUAUAGCCCCAAACGUUUUGCAAAACUGUAGUUAAAACCCCAAAAGUCUUGGGGAAGAGGAUAUUUCAAACUUCAAACGCCUGAGAAGAGGAUAUUUCAAACUUCUCAGGCGAAGAGGAAGCAAGAGACUGAUGAGAAAACUGUAGAAGAAGAAGAAGAAAAUCAAGAUGAGAUCCAAGUCGUUUGCCGUUAGGUCUCGGCCGCAUAGAGCUCCCCGCAACUCCCUCGAUCCCUAUCCAUCCCCCGCUCCUCUUCCGGUAACCCUAAUUCCCCCUUCCUUCCCUCCUUUCGAAUCGCAAUUGGAGGUUAUAAUCAAAAGCUUGGUAGCUUCGUUAUAAUCGCAAUUGAUCUCUCCCGCUAGCUCUUUUGUGAAUUUGAGUGGUUGUAGAGCUUGAAUCCAGAAUCUUUUAUGUGAAUGUUAAUUUGAUGUAUUUCUCACAGGGUGAAGCUAAUGAAAGAUUUGCCUCUGGAGUGAACACCACACACUGUGUCAGUGGUGAUGCUGAAAGAGUUCCAGACACUUUUGAUGAAAGAGAUGUGCCAUCCAAGAAGCGUCAUUGUCUUGGGACAAGUGAGACCACUAGAGGAGGAGGAGGAGGAGGAGGAUCGAACUUGGAAGCUUGUAUUGUAUGUGACAUUUUAGACGAGGGGGUAUCUCGUUGUUCUGGGACUGGCUGUAUUCUUUGGUUUCAUGGGGAGUGUUUGAAUCCUGAUUUAAGUAGUAGUAGUAGUGAGGAUCUCGCAAAGACCUACUGUCCUUAUUGCUGGUUCAGAGUUCUAAUGAUGAAACACGAGUCAGUGAGGAAGAAGGGCGUUGUGGCGGAAAAGGAAGUCUCCAAGUGUCUAAGUAAAGAUCAUUCAGUGGAUGGAACCGACGUUGUGAGGGAUCAAGAGUUAGGGGGAGAGAAGGGUGUCUGUUCAUCUGAAAAGGAACAGUUGCAAGUGGAGAAAGAUUCUGAUCGAUCAAGAGAAGAGGAGGUGCCGUUGACUGAAGGAAUAGAUUAUCAACACCAAGAGGAUACAGAAAAGUUUCAAGAUGCUGAGGAAGACAAGGAUGAUGAAGAAACAACAAAAGAUCAAACUACAGGUGGUGCAGGGGGAAAGGGAGAUGUUUCAGGGGAAGAGCAAGACCAGAGCCAACAGAAUGAGAAGCCAAGAAGAAGAAGACGGCAGUUAAUAUUGAGUUGUAGUGAAAUCUCAUCGGAUGAAUCAACAAACGAACGACAUGGAGAAGGUGUAACUGAGCAGAUAACAGGGGAGAUGAAGAAUCAACAGAGAAAACAUAGCGCAACAACCCAAGUGGCCAAGUCAAAGACAGUGAGGUUGUUCCUUUUUUUCUUCAUUUACGUGAACAUGAAGAGUAUCUCAUCUCAUAUCCACAUUAAAUAACGAGAGUUACCUCAUGGAAUUUCAGGGACAUGUCAUCUUUGAAGACGGAUCAGAGAAAGAGGCUAUUUUGGACACCCGAAGAAGAAGAAAUGCUCAAGGUAUUAUAAUAAACACUGGCAGUGAUACCUUUUCUUGAAUGGUUGUUGAUAUGUGUUGGCUUGGCUCUCUCAGGUGGGAGUGGAGAAGUUUUCAGCAGAAGCAAAGAAGAACAUGCCAUGGAGGAAAAUUCUGGAAAUGGGAGCCGAGGUUUUCCACGAAACACGUACUCCCGCUGAUCUCAAGGACAAAUGGAGAAACAGGAUGGGCGUAAGAUCAGCGAAAAAGGCAAACUAGACGAACGCAUUGAUCCUGGCAUUGGUAUCAAUAUACCCAACUAUCAGUGUCUCAUAUAAGAGAUAAAGUCAGGCUUAGUGAAGAGUUUAGCUGUAUGUACAAAAGUAUUGACUUCGGCUUAUAGUCAUGUGUUCUUGAAUGCCACUCUUUUCGGAUAGAUGAAGAUCAACCUUUUUUGUAUAACUGCUUGUAUGCUAGAUGCUGAAGAAAGUUAAACUUAGAGAACUUAUUUUAAAUUAAGUUAUUUCAUAGGCGUUUACAUCACGAAAGUCUGUCUUUGCCUGUUUAUAGAAGAAAUGCAAAAAAGGAGCAUGUGUAUGUGUUUAGAUGAGAGUGCCGGUUGGGAUUAAGGCGUCCUUGAUAACGGUAACAAUACCACUCUUUAUGAAAUAUCCUUCGGUCUCUCUCGCUGCCUCUUGCACAUUGUCGCUGUUUAUGAUCUGUGCACCAAAGUUCAGACCAAAACCUUUUUAAGACCAGAACAGGUGUAAACAAAGAUAUGUGUAUAAUGAGCUUGGAAAGUGUGUUCCUAACCUUGACAUUGUCACCGAUACGUGCGUUUUUGUCAAUGAUGGCUCUUUUGAUGUGCGAGUUUUUCCCGAUACCUAUGGGUACACUCCCUUUCGCCGUUAGGAGGCUCUUCUCCGAAGCAGUCUAGGCAAAAUACAAUAACCACCAUGAUCAAAAAGGCUGAUGUUAUUCCAACAGUUUAUCAAGUGGCUUGCAGUACAAAUGGGGCUGCUGCAUUUACCUCGUAGUAGUCAGCUCCCAUUAGUAACGAAUCUUCAAUAAUAGCACCUUCUGAUAUGCAGGAACGGAGUCCAACCACGGAGUGAUGUAUUUUGCAGUUCUGCAUCCAAAGUUUAAAAGGUUUUGGUGUGCUGUUAUAAAGCAUAUCAGAAGAGGAGCUAUAUUUGAUUUUUACCUUGAUAACGCAGCCCUCUCCAAUGACACUGUCUGUGACAUCAGCAUCGAGCAUCUUAGACGGUGGUAGGUAACGUGGCUGUGUGUAGAUCGGAGCAGAACGAUCAUAGAAACUGCAUCAAGAGUUCAAAGAAGCUAAGAUAUCAAUCAUCCAAGAUACAAUAGCGUAUUGAAUAAUAUCCAAAUGGUAAUGUGGUUGAUGUACCUAAAAUCAGGAACCGGUUUUUUGGUGAUUCCGAGAUUUGCGUUAUAGAAUGCCUCUAUAGUACCAAUGUCUUCCCAAUAGCCAUCAUAUAGGUAAGCUUGCACCUGCAAAACAAUCAGAAUACAAACUAAAUGUUAAUACACAUGAACUUCAAAGCUAACAAGUAGUAGACAAAGCACUUACCCUCAGUCCGAGGGAAGUGGCACCAGGAAUGACUUCGCUUCCAAAGUCAUUAGCUCCAGGAAACUUAUUCCGUAGUAACUCAAGCAUUACAUCUUUGCUAACAACAUAAAUACCCAUACUCGCAAUGUACGGCAUCUCCUUGGCUCUCUUAUCAUCAAGACCUAGAAUCGUUGUAUCGACCUAGUAAAAGCCAAUGAAAUCAAAAGGUUUUAUCUACAAGGUGGCUUUCAAGACAAAACAGAGAGUUAGCGUUAAGUUUUAUGUUUUCUUGUAAACCUUCAUGCCCUUAAGUUGCUCCCCCUUUGGCUUUUCGGCAAAUUCAACAAUACGUCCUUCCUCAUCAAUCUUCAUCAACCCAAAAGCAGUGGCUCGCUCCUCAUCCAUCGGUAACGCAGCCACGGUGAUAUCAGCAUCAGUCUCCCUAUGCGCUUGAAUAAACUUCUCAUAGUCCAUCCGGUACAAAUGAUCCCCAGCGAGAAUCAGAUACUCAAGAACAUUAUGCUCCUCAAACAACCACAAGUACUGCCUCACCGCAUCAGCAGUCCCCUACACAACAAACCCACCACCACAUGUUAAAUAAACACAUUCAAAAAACUUCCACAAGGCACAACCGGCCCUGAGAUUUUGGGGCCGUAAACCAUUUAGUAAAAAUUUAAGUAGUUUGGCGGUCUAAAAUUUAUUUUACAACUGUAGAAGUCUAUUUGUUAAGCUAGAUGGCUUCCAACCUAAAACCAAUUGGUGAUAAGUAGAGUGGUCCAUCUAUCUUAUAUAUUACUUAGGAUCCCUUCCAACUACCGAUGUGGGACACUUUGUGUCUAAUACACCCCCUUGAGAUGAUGGCUCUUUGAGCGUCAAUCUCGGAAUGCUCGGACAAGGAUCGAUGGGCCAACUUUGGGCCAGAUCGAUAGAUCAGGUUGGACUUCGUGGAUCGGGCUAUGAUACCAUGUUAAGCUAGAUGAACUUCCAACCUAAAACCAAUUGGUGAUAAGUAGAAUGGUCCAUCUAUCUUAUAUAUUACUUAGGAUCCCUUCCAAAUACCGAUGUGUCUAAUACUAUUUGCAUUUUAAUUUUGGGGACCUGAGGCGAAUAUUUCAUCAGGCUUGGCCCAGGCCCGGCCCUGAGCACAAGAUCAUGGAUUUGAUAUUACCUGGAACCAGUUGGGGUUCUCAGGACUCUGUUGAGCGGCGAGGACCUCGACGAAGCCUUCGUUCUUGUAACCUCCCAUGUUAGUGGCGUAGGCUCGCGAAAGGUGGCGGUUAAGAGAGGCGGAGUUGAACUGGGUGAGGACGUAGAUCUUGUUGAUGUUGCUGUUGAGGCAGUUGCUGACGGGGAUGUCGAUGAGCCUGUAGUUAGCGCCGAGGGGAACGGCGGGUUUGGCUCUCUUUUUGGUGAGAGGGUAGAGACGCGUUCCAGCUCCGCCUCCUAAGAUGAUCCCCAACACACUCUGCCAAUAAAAUCAAAUCAUUACUUCGAAACGACUCCGUAUCAGUGAAGAUUCAAGUGUUGUUUUGGUUACUUAAACAAUGAGAUCAGGAAGACGAAAAACUCACCCUGCUCGCAUCAGGAUCGAGACAGGUCUGCGAAUUCUGAGAAUCCGAGACGGCCUUGGGGGACACGAUCAUCGGAUUCCUCACUCGGUUACGAGAAAGAACGGAUCCGCGGCGAUGAGACACGGUGGCUCUGAGAGAAACAGAGGAGGAGAAAGAAAGAGUCAUCGUGGGAACCGCCUCGCACGAAGCAGCAGCGGGUGGUGGUACCUUUAGAACUCCAGUUGCAGCUAUAGACGCCAUUGUAGUGUCUCUCUCUCUCUCUUUGGCUAUGGGUUUUCUGAGAAAUCAAUAAUUGAGAUCAAAUCUGGAAAUGCUAUAAUAGCAGACUUUGGAGUGAGAGUCGGACUCUCCUGCUUUGUCUUGUUAUUAUGGGAAAGUGAAAAAAGAUUUUUAUACAAUUUUAUUUUAUUAUUUCGGUUUUGGUUUGCGAUGGGGUCUCGGGAACCGUUAGUUUUUCGGCUAAUUUAAAAACUACGUUAAUGGGCUUUACGUCUUUUCCUGGCGAUUAAAGGAAGAAGCAAUGGGUGCUUUCGGAAUUUUCUGUUUGUUUGAAUAUCCAAAGUAAAUUGUGUCAUUUUCUUUUGUCGACAAAUUGUGUCAUAUUAAAUUCGUAUGUAAAUAGAUUUUGAUUUAGAAAUACAAUCCACAUAAUUUGGUUUUUAUGUAGGGCAAAUCUCCAAAAUAGCACAUUUCUAAGUUUAUAUCACAAAAAUAGUACUCAAAAACUAAAAUGAUCAAAAUAGCAUUUUAUCUUUUGAAAAAUUUAAAUUUUUUUACUUUUCAAAAUUUGAAAUCUUAUCCCCAAAACCUCACUUCUCAACUCUAAAUCCUAAAAUCUAAACUCUAAACCCUAAACCCUAAACUCUAAACCCUAAACCCCACCCCUUGAGUGCUAUUUCUGUGACUUUUCGCCUUGUGUGCUAGUUUGGGAACAAAAACUUGAUUUAGUGCUAUUUUGGUCAUUUUCUCUUUUAUGUAUAUCAUAGACAAUCAGAAUUAACUAUUUUCCACUAUGAUAUAGUAUAUUUUUGAGAAAAUAAUUUCCUAAUAAAUUUUAUGCAAUGUAUAAAUAUACAAUGAAAAGUUCUACAGGAGCUUACUCAACAUUGCGCUUUAUCAGAUAUGGGUGUAACAAGAGGGAGGGGGAUUUAAUUUGUAAGAAGCUGGAUCGGGUUCUAAUUAAUGAUGUUGCUCUUCAUGGUUUGGGGAGGGCGUAUAGUGUUUUUGAACCAGGUGGAUGCUCUGAUCAUCUCAGGUGCAUGAUACAUUUUGAUAUUGAGGACAAGCAGAAGAAAAGGAAACCGUUUAAAUUUACAAAUGUGAUAGCAACAAUGGAUGAAUUCUUGCCGACAGUUGAAGAAUACUGGAGAGGAACUGAUCAACUCUUUCAUUCAACCUCAGCCUUAUACAGACUUGGGAAGAAGCUUAAAGGUCUUAAGCAUGCGUUUGAGGUCUCUUAGUAAAGAUAAACUGGGCCAGCUCCAUAAGCAGACAAAGGAGGCGCUAUCACUUCUAUGUGAUAGACAAGGAGAAACCUUAAUGAAUCCGAGCUCAGAUGCUAUGAGGAGGGAAUGUGAAGCAUUGGAGAGAUGGCAGAAACUUGCUGAUAUAGAAGAAGAGGUCUUUAAGCAGAAGUCAAAAAUGCACUGGCUGGAGGUUGGUGACAGGAAUAAUAAGUUCUUUCAUAAUGUAGCAAAAAUUAGAGAGGUGAUGAAUGCCAUCAGAGAAGUAGUCUGUCCUGAUGGUAGUAUAGCUACAAC
rnacentral:lncRNA from 1 species